rnacentral:lncRNA from 1 species
GCCUUGGAAUUUGUUGCUGGGGGUACAUAGUUCGUCCAGAUUCUUAGGCGAGUCUUCUUGGCCUGAAGCUCAGCAUCUUUCAACUGCUUCUUGACUUCCCCCUCAAGCAUGUUUGCACUCCAAUCAACGUACUUAGCAUAACCCUAUGCCAAAAGAAAGGAGAGGGCAUAAAGUUUAGAUCACCUCAAGCAUGUUUGCACUCCAGUCAACGUACUUAGCAUAACCCUAUGCCAAAAGAAAGGAGAGGGCAUAAAGUUUAGAUUGGACAGGCCUUAUACAUUUCCUAUUCUAGAAUUAACAAGAACCAACUGUUCACUGUCAAUGAGUUAACUAAUUGAAAAAUUAGAGAUAGCCGAAAUAAACAGUUUUUAACCCACAAUUUCAAACAUUGAAGAAAGAGUUAAGUGAAGAAAGUUACGGAAAGAGAAAGUUAAAGCAUUUAGGUGAAAGAGGAUCCAUUGCAAAUCCACAUAAAGAAAACAAGGGAUGGCACAAAUUGAGAGACAGAUAAUGCCACACUGAAUGUAAAGGUAAUAAAUACUAUGAUAGGAAACAGUACAUAAUGCACACAAUGACCAGCAAAACGAGAGGACUAACUGCGUCACUGAACAAGAUACAAGCACUUGUUGAGCAUAUUGAUGAGUAAAAUCAGAGCCUUCUGAAUUAGAGAAAAUCUAUCAGUAAACAAAUAAUCUUUACAAGAGACGACCAACAAGAAAGGCACCACUAAGGUUAAGACAGUUCUCAAUUUUUUCAAAAACAAAGUGUACCACUAACAGUGACCUUUUCAGAAACAUCAGUUUCUUACUAGACAAAGAAAUAAUAAGAUUAGACGAGCAAAAGUAUCAGUGAUAGUAUGUCUAUCACGCACAUUUUCAACAAGCUCCAAACCCAGGUUUUUUGCCGAUUCUCCAUCAGGAUAGUACACUGAGCCAAUCAGAUUGCUAAACUUGUCAACACCCUCCAGGACAAUCCGAACCUGUACAUUAAACUAAAUUAAAAAAAGAAUAAACUGGAAACACAAACCAUUGAGAGCUAACAAGAAUCUCACAUCUACAUUAAACUAAAUUUAGAAGAAGAAUAAACUGGAAAAACAAACCAUUAAGAGCUAACGAGAAUCUCACAUCUCUAUUUAACACACGAGUUUCAGUAAAAUGCUUUGCUUCUCUGCCAUAUGGAUCAGGAGCCACUUCUGAUACAGAUGCUGCUGACGCUGCCAGCCUCUGAGCUGUUGUCGCAGUAGCACGAGGUUCAGUAGUUGAUUCUCCGUUUGGUUCAUCAGAGGUAAUACUAGCAUUAACAACAGUUUCUGAUGUUGCUCUUCUUUGAACAUGCAGCACAAAUGCUUGGCUUCUCUGCCAUAUGGAUCUGGAGCAACUUCUGAUACAGAUGCUGCUGAGGUUGCCAACCUCUGAGCUGUUGUCGGAGUAGCACGAGGUUCAGUAGUUGAUUCUCCGUUUGGUUCAUCAGAGGUAAUACUAGCAUUAACAACAGUUUCUGAUGUUGCUCUUCUUCCCAUAGUAGGUGCCUGUUUAUUUAAAAAAAGGGUAAACGCACUGGUAAAGUAACAAGAGCUGGCUGUGUAGAAAUUUCAACUUGUACUGCAUUG